rnacentral:rRNA from 1 species
GACGAACGCUGGCGGCGCGCUUAACACAUGCAAGUCGAACGGAAAGGCCCUGCUUUUGUGGGGUGCUCGAGUGGCGAACGGGUGAGUAACACGUGAGUAACCUGCCCUUGACUUUGGGAUAACUUCAGGAAACUGGGGCUAAAACCGGAUAGGAGCUCCUGCUGCAUGGUGGGGGUUGGAAAGUUUCGGCGGUUGGGGAUGGACUCGCGGCUUAUCAGCUUGUUGGUGGGGUAGUGGCUUACCAAGGCUUUGACGGGUAGCCGGCCUGAGAGGGUGACCGGCCACAUUGGGACUGAGAUACGGCCCAGACUCCUACGGGAGGCAGCAGUGGGGAAUAUUGCACAAUGGGCGGAAGCCUGAUGCAGCAACGCCGCGUGCGGGAUGACGGCCUUCGGGUUGUAAACCGCUUUCGCCUGUGACGAAGCGUGAGUGACGGUAAUGGGUAAAGAAGCACCGGCUAACUACGUG